rnacentral:rRNA from 1 species
AACGUAGGACGCAAGCAUUAUCCGGAAUUACUGGGCGUAAAGAGCGCGCAGGCGGGUAUUUAAGUCAGUUAUAAAAGCUCCUGGCUAAACUGGGAGAGGCUAGCUGAUACUGAAUAUCUUGAGUGGAGAAGAGGAAUGUGGAAUUCCGCGUGUAGUGGUGAAAUGCGUAGAUAUGCGGAGGAACACCAGUGGCGAAGGCGACAUUCUGGUCUCUAACUGACGCUGAGGCGCGAAAGCACGGGUAGCGAACGGG